rnacentral:rRNA from 1 species
GAUGAACGCUGGCGGCGUGCCUAAUACAUGCAAGUCGAGCGGACGGACGCGGAUCUUGCUUCGCUGAUGUUAGCGGCGGACGGGAGAGUAACACGUGUAUAACCUACCUAUAAGUCUGGGAUAACUUCGGGAAACCGGCUCUAAUACCGGAUAAUAUUCUGAACCGCAUGGUUCAAAAGAGAAAGACGGUCUUGCUGUCACUUAUAGCUGGAUCCGCGCUGCUUUAGCUAGUUGGUAGGGUAAAGGCUUACCAAGGCAACGAUGCAUGGCCGAAGGGAGGGGGUGAUCGGCCACCCUGGAGGUGAAACGGGGUCCAGACGCCUGCGGUAGGCAGCAGUAGGGUAUCUUCCGCAAUGGGCGAGAGCAUGACGGAGCAGCGCCGCGUGAGUGAUGAAGGUCUUCGGAUCGUAAUGCUCGGUUUUUAGGGAUAAACAGAUGUGUAAGUAACUGUGGACAGCUUGACGGUACCUAAUCAGAAAGCAACGGCUAACUACGUG